AAACAGUUGCAUAGAUGUAAAAGGUGGUAUACACAAAAAACCGAUUUCUUUUGAGUCGGAUUGGCAUAAUAAUACAUUAGAUGCAGAAAAUAAUGAAAAUGUAGUUAUUAAUGUAGGUGCGUGUGAUGGAGAGUAUAAUGAAAUGAUAGACGACGAGUACAAAAAAUUGAAUAACAAACGAAACAAUACGUACAUGAAUGUUAUGCAAAAUCGGAAUAAAACUGAAGAAGAAAAAAUAAAUGAUGUCUUAGUACAUAAAGAGGUUGUUGCACGUGUUGAUAAUGUAAAAACAGGUAAGCUAGUUACUACGGAAAAUGAGAGUGUGGGAAAUGGUAAUGCAUUUACAUCCCAUCAAAGUAUAAGAAAAGGUGAAGGUACAAGUAAAGGUACAAGUAAAGGUAUAAGUAAAGGUAUAAGUAAAGGUACAAGUAAAGGUAUAAGUAAAGGUACAAGUAAAGGUAUAAGUAAAGGUACAAGUAAAGGUACAAGUAAAGGUAUAAGUAAAGGUACAAGUAAAAGUAUAAGUAAAGGUAUAAGUAAAGGUAUAAGUAAAGGUAUAAGCAAAGGUAUAAGUAAAGGUAUAAGCAAAGGUAUAAGCAAAGGUAUAAGCAAAAGGAAAAGCCAAAGUCAAGGUCAAAGUCAAGGUCAAAGAAAAAGCCAAAAAAAAAGCCAAAAAAAAAGCCAAAAAAAAAGCCAAAGCCAAACCCUAACCAAAAGCAACAGUUACAAAUACAAAGAAGAUAAUAUUAUCACGGACAUAAAUAUAUUUUUAAAUAAAGAGAGUAGCAUAGAAAUCAACGUAUCUAUUGUUAACAACCCCGAAACUAUUAUUUGUAAUAAAACAAAUUAUUAUUUAAUUUAUUACCAAAGGAAAACAAAUAAAAAAAUAAUUCAUUUUUUAAAACCAUACCAUAGCGACAUAUUUGGUUGGUCUGACGCACUGAAACCUAAAAUAAUACAGUGUUUAUUAUUAUAUAAAAAACAUGAAGUAUUUAUAUUUUCAUGUAGUGUUAAUGUUGUUAAAGAACACAAUAGAAUUAUUUUGAGUAAAAAUAAAAGUGUAAAUGUAGUAACAAAAAUUGAAAAUGGAAAGAGAGUGUUUCAUUUAGAAGAAAUAAAAACAAAUGAGGAAUGUGACGUAGAAGAGAAAUGUGAUCCUAAAAAAAUGAAAGAAUAUGUUGCUUACAAAAAUAAUAAAAAAUGGGGAAAAGUUCAAAAAAAAGACAAAAUGCGAGUUAAAAAAAUUAACAAGAGCUUAAAAAAAAUUCAAAACUAUAAACAUAAAAAAGAUAAAAUAUAUAAAAUGGAUUUUUAUAGUAAAAUAAAAAGAUUUAGUCCAAAUAAAAAUUCUCCUUUUUCUAUUAUAUAUAAAAAAAGAAAAAAACAAACAACAACAAUAACAACAGCAACAACAGCAACAACAGCAACAACAUCAAAAAAAAAAAAAAAAAAAAAAAAAACAUUUAUAAAAAUGGGUAAAAAAAAUAGUCUAACAAAAAAAUUAACUACGAUAGGAAAAAAUAAGUUGCGUUUUGUUUCCAUGCAGAAGAAAAACAAGUUAGAAAGCGCACAAAAAGGAAAGGAAAAAAAUAAAAGUUUGUUUGUAUUGGCGUAUCAUAGGAAUGAAACCAAUGCUAAUGAUGUCCGUACAGAUAUAUCCCGUAAACAUUUUCAUUUUAAUCCUUUUUUAAUUUUUAAAAAUCUAGAUUUAAAAAAAAAAAAAAAACGUGCAAGUAAUUUUAUGAGAAGAAUAGAGCGCAGCGAAGUCCUAAAUCGAGAUAGUGAUAGAAAUUCAUUUCAUAGUACAUCAAGUAGUUAUCAAAAUGGGUUAUUUGGCAAGGGACCAAGACCAGGAUUGGUUGAGAAGGGCGUACAUGAAACUAAUAAACCACUUAAGAUUAUCCUAUUUGAGAAUGGAAAAAAAACAAACAAACUACGCAACUUGCUUCUAAGCAAAAAACAAAAAAUAAAAACAUUGCAAGAUAAUAAAAAAAAAUCCCAAAGUUUAAAAAAUAUUUCAAAAAAAUCUAUUAACAAAAUUUAUAAUAAUAAAUAUCCA
ensembl:lncRNA